AGAGUUUGAUCAUGGCUCAGAACGAACGCUGGCGGCGUGCUUAACACAUGCAAGUCGAGUGCGCGCCUGUAGCAAUACAGGUGGCGCACGGCGGCACGGGUGCGUAACACGUGGGCAAUCUGCCCUCUGAUGGGGAAUAACCCGCCGAAAGGGGGCUAAUACCGCAUAAAAUUCCUUGGACUUAUGUUCGAGGACUCAAAGGCGUAAGUCGUCGGAGGAGGAGCCCGCGCACGAUUAGCUAGUUGGUAGGGUAAUGGCCUACCAAGGCUUUGAUCGUUAGCUGGUCUGAGAGGAUGGCCAGCCACACUGGAACUGAGACACGGUCCAGACUCCUACGGGAGGCAGCAGUGGGGAAUCUUGCACAAUGGGCGAAAGCCUGAUGCAGCGACGCCGCGUGGGGGAUGAAGCAUUUCGGUGUGUAAACCCCUUUCGAUCCGGACGAAUGCCUCGCAAGAGGAGUGACGGUACGGAUAUAAGAAGCCCCGGCUAACUACGUGCCAGCAGCCGCGGUAAGACGUAGGGGGCCAGCGUUGUUCGGAAUUACUGGGUGUAAAGGGUUCGUAGGCGGUGUGGCAAGUUGGGUGUGAAAUCUCUGGGCUCAACCCAGAGACUGCUUCCAAAACUGCUGUGCUUGAGUGUGAGAGAGGCUCGUGGAAUUGCAGGUGUAGCGGUGAAAUGCGUAGAUAUCUGCAGGAACACCCGUGGCGAAAGCGGCGAGCUGGAUCACUACUGACGCUGAGGAACGAAAGCUAGGGGAGCAAACAGGAUUAGAUACCCUAGUAGUCC
rnacentral:rRNA from 1 species